CUCCUUCAGAACUGUACUAUGAGAAAAGCUUUCUCCACUUCUGUCCUGCCUCAGUCUUUCUUGGAAGCACCAGAUUGGCCUAGAAUCAGAGGAGAUGUUCCAGGCUUCCAAGUGCUUGUUUCCUGUGAUCCAUUUGCAAACACACAGUGUCUUCACCAACCAGCAUCCCUGGCUCUCAGCAGAAACCACGGGACCCAGGCCUCGCUGGCAGUGGGGUCUGUCCAGCCAACGCAUCUUUGUUCAAGCAUGCAGUCUCAAUGAAACAACUAAAUUCCCAGUGGACACCACGAACCCCUCAGGAUUGAGGUGGACAUCACUAAGUGAACUGGGAAUCUGGUUCUGACAGGUUCAGUGGCGAGCAUGGCCACCACACUGAUUAGGGAACCUGGUGUCCCCAGCGCUAGUGUGCACAGCUUGCGCCCCUUGGCAGGGACUGCCGGCCAAGAAAUUCACAUGGACACAACCACGUUGGUCUUCGCUGGAAAACUCAAACCCUGAAUUCUCAGGGAGCAGGGGGUUUUAGAAAAAGAAAAGUUGUCAAGGUUCACACUCGUGAGAGGUGACAUUUUAUUCUUUCUUGGAGUGUGAACUGUUUGUAAUGUUUAAAAAUGUGUCUACCCAAAGUCCGUGUAGGUGCCCUUCCUGUGGUUGUAUUCAUUGUCGGAGGCUUUUUUCCUCAAUCCAUCCCCUACUAAGAAUUCACCUUGUAUCAUAGCUAUUAAGCUUUUGUGAUGUUUUGUCACUAUAAAUGACCAAUAUAGUAUCAGUUGGUCAUUUCUUGGAAGGUGAUUGUCCCAUUGUUUUUAUGUUCAGAAUCACUGCAGGAGGCAAGAAUGAAAUCCGAAAUCAAUUUUAUGUACAGUCCCAUUUUCUAAGGUAUAAUCUAAAGUGCCAAGAUGCCAUGGUGAAAUGAGUAAGAAAAAUCUGGAUUUGAAUCCUGGUCCAUUUAUUUCCUGUGUGAACCCUGGGCUAAUUACUUGGAGACCCUGGGCAUCACUUUUCCCAUCUCACAUCCUGAUUGUGAGUGUGUAGUGUGUGCUGCAUGGAAAGCAUUUAUGGUGGUGCCUGCUGUUUGGCAUGUUCUCAGUGAACAUGAGCCAUAUGAAAUUCUGUCAGCUGAACAUUCAGCUACACUUUCUUUUAGCUUUUUUUGCCCAUGGGAAUGGGAAGGGUUGGAGGGAAGGAUGUUUUACAUUUAACUUUUUAAUCUCUUAGGAGUUUAUUUUGAUAUACGGUAUGAGGUGAAGUUCUAACUUGGAGGUUUUUCCGAUGGGCCAAAAUUUUCAAAGUGCCAUUUGUUGAGCAAUUCUUCCCAUUGCUUUUUGUAAAGCUGUAGAGGUUCCUUUAUCAUUGAUCACACUCUUCUGUCUGUCUGUCAGCCUCAGGGAUGUCUUAUGUAAUCCAUGAGCUGUCGGUCAGUUCUUGUUCUAGUACUUGUCGUGGUUGUCUGUCUUCCUUUACUCUUUUAUUGAGAUAGAACUUAGAUCCAGUGAAGUGCAGGAGUCUUAAGCAUACAGCUUCAAGGAUGUUGAUGUUCUCAGACUUGUAAUUACUACCCACAUCAACUGAGAGACCCCCAGAUGGCUCCCUCAUGCCUGCUCCCUAAGGUGACCACUGUUCUAAAUUCUGUCACCAGAGCUUAAGGAAAUUUCUAUUCCUAGUUCAUUUAGGAAUAGAACAGGAGAUAAAUUUUGUUAUAUAUGGUUAUUCUGUACCUAUUGACAUAAGUGUAAGAGUUUUUCCUCCUCUAUUCUGUUCGUGGGUAGAUUAAAUUGGUUGAUUUUCAAAUAUUAAAUGAACUUAGCAUUUUUGAAAUAAAUCCUACCUGCUCAUGAUGUGUUAUUCUUUUUUACAAAUCAAGGGAUUUGAAUUUCAAAUAUCUUGGUUAUGGUCUUUACAUCUUUGUUCAUUAAAGAUAUUGGCCUGUCAUUUUUCUUUCUUGUAAUAUCCUUUUCAGAUUUUAGUAUCUAGGUUACGCUUGCCCCAUCACAUGAGUUAAUCAAUGUUUACCUCAUUUUUUAUUCUCUUAUUUAACUUUGGUGUUAUUUCUUCUUGUAAAGUUGAACAGAUUUCACCAGUGAAGCCAUCUGGGGCUAGAGGUUUCUCUGUGAAAAGAAAUGAAAUAAUUAGUUAAAAUUUUUUAAUACAUAAGGGACCUUUCAGAUUUUAUUCUUCUCAGACCUUUUCUAAUGUAUAAUCUGUUUCCUUAAAAACACUGCUUUUGCUGCUUUUCACAAGUUUAACAUGUUGUAUUUUCAUUAUAAAGUAAGCUCAACAUAUUUCCUAAUUUGUUCCAAGUAUCUUUCUGGUUAUCUUUCUUUUAUUGAUUUCUAGUUUAACUGCCUUAUGGUAAGAAAAUAUACUCUUGUGAUUUCAAUUGUGUGAAAUUUGAAAUUUGUGAUAUUUUCUUUAUGGCAUAAUAUAUUGUCCAUUUCAGUAUGUGUGUGUGUAUAAUAUGUAUAUAUUCUCAAUACUAGGCUAAUUUGAUUAAUCAUACUCAAUUUUUAUAUUAUCUGAUUUAUUUUCAGUUUGUUAGAGAAAGAAAUAUUAAAAUAUUGAAAUAUGGUCAAAGAUUUUUCCUAUUUUCCUUUAUAUAAUUUGAAGUUAUG